rnacentral:rRNA from 1 species
AGCGAACGCUGGCGGCAGGCCUAACACAUGCAAGUCGAACGAACUCUUCGGAGUUAGUGGCGGACGGGUGAGUAACACGUGGGAACGUGCCUUUUGGUUCGGAAUAACUCAGGGAAACUUGUGCUAAUACCGAAUGUGCCCUUCGGGGGAAAGAUUUAUCGCCAUUAGAGCGGCCCGCGUCUGAUUAGCUAGUUGGUGAGGUAACGGCUCACCAAGGCGACGAUCAGUGGCUGGUCUGAGAGGAUAACCAGCCACACUGGGACUGAGACACGGCCCAGACUCCUACGGGAGGCAGCAGUGGGGAAUCUUGCGCAAUGGGCGAAAGCCUGACGCAGCCAUGCCGCGUGAAUGAUGAAGGUCUUAGGAUUGUAAAAUUCUUUCACCGGGGACGAUAAUGACGGUACCCGGAGAAGAAGCCCCGGCUAACUUCGUG